rnacentral:rRNA from 1 species
AGCUAGAGUAUGAUAGAGGAAAGCAGAAUUUCUAGUGUAGAGGUGAAAUUCGUAGAUAUUAGAAAGAAUACCAAUUGCGAAGGCAGCUUUCUGGAUCAUUACUGACACUGAGGAACGAAAGCAUGGGUAGCGAAGAGGAUUAGAUACCCUCGUAGUCCAUGCCGUAAACGAUGUGUGUUAGACGUUGGAAAUUUAUUUUCAGUGUCGCAGCGAAAGCGAUAAACACACCGCCUGGGGAGUACGACCGCAAGGUUAAAACUCAAAUGAAUUGACGGGGACCCGCACAAGUAGUGGAGCAUGUGGUUUAAUUCGAAGAUACGCGCAGAACCUUACCAACACUUGACAUGUUCGUCGCGACUCUAAGAGAUUAGAGUUUUCGGUUCGGCCGGACGAAACACAGGUGCUGCAUGGCUGUCGUCAGCUCGUGUCGUGAGAUGUUGGGUUAAGUCCCGCAACGAGCGCAACCCUCACUUUUAGUUGCCAUCAUUAAGUUGGGCACUCUGAAAGAACUGCCAGUGAUAAGCUGGAGGAAGGUGGGGAUGACGUCAAGUCCUCAUGGCCCUUACGUGUUGGGCUACACACGUGCUACAAUGGUAUCUACAACAGGAAGCAAGACUACGAGGUCAAGCAAAUCCUUAAAAGAUACCUCAGUUCGGAUUGCACUCUGCAACUCGAGUGCAUGAAGCUGGAAUUACUAGUAAUCGUGGAUCAGCGUGCCACGGUGAAUGCGUUCCCGGGUCUUGC